GUGGUCAUAGUUUAAUGGUAAAACACUAGCCUGUGGAGCUGGAUUUGAGAGUUCGAUUCUCUCUGGCCACCCCA
rnacentral:tRNA from 1 species